rnacentral:rRNA from 1 species
UACGUAGGGGGCAAGCGUUGUCCGGAUUUAUUGGGCGUAAAGAGCGUGUAGGCGGCCGCACAGGUCCGUUGUGAAAACUGGAGGCUUAACCUUCAGACGUCGAUGGAAACCGUGCGGCUAGAGUCCGGAAGAGGAGUGUGGAAUUCCUGGUGUAGCGGUGAAAUGCGCAGAUAUCAGGAGGAACACCAAUGGCGAAGGCAGCACUCUGGGACGUGACUGACGCUGAGACGCGAAAGCGUGGGGAGCAAACAGG